AUGAAUUGUGGUCGUAAAUGCUUAUUUUCUACAACCAGAUCCAUUUCUCGUCGUAAAUAAUGAACAUUUACGACCAGAUCUAGUAAACUGGUUGUAAAUACUAGGGCCCAAAUACCGCGUACAAUAUUUCACUCAAAAUUCGAUUAACCGCGUUCAACACUCUUCAUUCCUCCUUAUUAUUCCUUCAUUUCAUUCAUUUCCCUAAUGUCAUCCUUCAAUUCCUCUUUCCAGAUUUAUUUUCUCUAUCUUCCAGUUCCUCUUCUCUCUUCCAGUUCCUCUUUUCUCUUCAAAUUCUUCUUCUCUCUCUUCCAGUUCCUCUUCUCUCUUCAAAUUCGUCUUCUCUCUCUCUCUUCAUCCUAUUUCUUCAUUUGUUUUCGUAAUUUUCAAUUUGUUAGGGUGAAUUAUUUUUUCCCCAAAUCAAUUUAGGGUUUCCACUUUCAAUUGUCUCCAAAAUUUAAACCCACAAGAUCGUAUCUCAAGUUUGUAAACCCAAAAUUUGGUUUUUUUGGUUUGAAUCUCAAAGAUUCAAACCCAAAAAUCGAUGUUUUGUGUUUCUAUAUCAAACUUUCAAAGUAGAAAUGGAGUAAUCGCAAGCUUUCAUUUGAAGAUUUGGGGUUUUCACACAAGAUCUGUUCGAUUUUUUGUAUUUUCUGGGUUCGAAAAUUUAUGGGUAAUUUGCAAAGAUCUGGAAUUUGGGAAUUUGGGUUCGAAAAUUUGUGGGUCUGAAGGAGUGCGCGUGGCGAGGGAGCUGGAAUGCGGCUCGAGGGAGACUCACUGCCUUCAAUCAGGGCUGAAGGGGCGUGGCUGGGCGGUGGUGGCGGCGGUGGAAAAAAAGGGCUUUAGUUUUUAGAUUUUAUUUUUUGAUGAACAAUAAAUUUAGUUAAUUUAAGUUUUUUUUUGUAUAAAUUUUAGUUUUGAGAUUUUAUUUUUUCUUUUGAUUUUUUGUACCAAAAUUCAUCAAAAUUAUUAAUAAAAGUAUAUUAUUAAUUUAA